GACGAACGCUGGCGGCGUGCCUAAUACAUGCAAGUUGAGCGCUGAAGGUUGGUACUUGUACCAACUGGAUGAGCAGCGAACGGGUGAGUAACGCGUGGGGAAUCUGCCUUUGAGCGGGGGACAACAUUUGGAAACGAAUGCUAAUACCGCAUAAAAACUUUAAACACAAGUUUUAAGUUUGAAAGAUGCAAUUGCAUCACUCAAAGAUGAUCCCGCGUUGUAUUAGCUAGUUGGUGAGGUAAAGGCCCACCAAGGCGAGGAUACAUAGCCGACCUGAGAGGGUGGUCGGCCACAUUGGGACUGAGACGCGGCCCAAAACCCCACGGGAGGCAGCAGUAGGGAAUCUUCGGCAAUGGACGAAAGUCUGACCGAGCAACGCCGCGGGAGGGAAGAAGGGUUUCGGAUCGGAAAACUCUGUUGGUAGGGAAGAACGUUGGUGAGAGUGGAAAGCUCAUCAAGUGACGGUAACUACCCAGAAAGGGACGGCUAACUACGUG
rnacentral:rRNA from 1 species